CCUACGGGAGGCAGCAGUCGAGAAUCAUUCACAAUGGGGGAAACCCUGAUGGUGCGACGCCGCGUGGGGGAAUGAAGGUCUUCGGAUUGUAAACCCCUGUCAUGUGGGAGAAAAUUACAAAGAGAGUACCACAAGAGGCAGAGACGGCUAACUCGGUGCCAGCAGCCGCGGUAAUACAGAGGGCUCAAGCGUUGUUCGGAAUCACUGGGCGUAAAGCGUGCGUAGGCUGUUUCGUAAGUCGUGUGUGAAAGGCGCGGGCUCAACACUCGGACGGCACAUGAUACUGCGAGACGAGAGUGAGGGAGGGGGAACCGGAAUUCUCGGUGUAGCAGUGAAAUGCGUAGAUAUCGAGAGGAACACUCGUGGCGAAGGCGGGUUCCUGGACAUUAACUGACGCUGAGGCACGGAGGCCAGGGGAGCGAAAGGGAUUAGAUACCCGAGUAGUC
rnacentral:rRNA from 1 species